rnacentral:lncRNA from 1 species
UCAUAAUCAAGGAAUUCAACACCAGUUCAUGACAUUACUGUACGUCCUUGUAUCAAUAAAGACAAACAACAUUUACCAAAUGAGUUAAACGAUAAAAGCAUUAAGCAAAGGUGAAGAACCCAACAAUUGAUAUAUCAAGCAUAUGCAAGCAUAUAAAAUAAAUAAGAAUUCGAAUAUAUGAGAGUUUCAAAAGAUUACAUUGUUCC